GACGAACGCUGGCGGCGUGCUUAACACAUGCAAGUCGAACGGAAAGGCCCUGCUUUUGUGGGGUGCUCGAGUGGCGAACGGGUGAGUAACACGUGAGUAACCUGCCCUUGACUUUGGGAUAACUUCAGGAAACUGGGGCUAAUACCGGAUAGGAGCUCCUGCUGCAUGGUGGGGGUUGGAAAGUUUCGGCGGUUGGGGCUGGACUGGCGGCUUAUCAGCUUGUUGGUGGGGUAGUGGCUUACCAAGGCUUUGACGGGUAGCCGGCCUGAGAGGGUGACCGGCGACAAUGGGACUGAGAUACGCACCAGACUGCUACGGGAGGCAGCAGGGGGAAGUAUGGCGCAAUGGGCGGAAGCCUGAGACAGCAACGCCGCGUGCGGAAUGACGGCCUUCGGGUUAUAAACCGCUUUCGCCGGUAACGAGGCGGGAGUGACGGUAAUGGGUAAAGAAGCACCGGCUAACUACGUG
rnacentral:rRNA from 1 species